rnacentral:tRNA from 1 species
GCCUGGGUGGCUCAGUUGGUUGAGCGUCUGACUUCAGCUCAGGUCAUGAUCUCACAGUUCGUGAGUUUGAGCCCCGCGUCGGGCU